UCAGCAGCCGCGGUAAUACGGAGGAUGCGAGCGUUAUCCGGAAUUAUUGGGUUUAAAGGGUGCGUAGGCGGAAUGGUAAGUCAGCGGUGAAAUACUGCAGCUCAACUGUAGUUGUGCCGUUGAUACUGUCAUUCUUGAGUAUAGAUGAGGUAGGCGGAAUGAGUAGUGUAGCGGUGAAAUGCAUAGAUAUUACUCAGAACACCGAUUGCGAAGGCAGCUUACUAAACUAUAACUGACGCUGAAGCACGAAAGCGUGGGUAUCAAACAGGAUUAGAUACCCUGGUAGUCCACGCUGUAAACGAUGAUUACUGGUUGUUUGUUCGAGUGAGAAUAAGGACRGARMGAAAGCAUAAGUAAUCCACCUGGGGAGUACGUGGC
rnacentral:rRNA from 1 species